rnacentral:ncRNA from 1 species
UAUAAGUGCAGGUAGGAAUACACUGCAUACUCGCGUCACCGAACUAAUUGUUUAAGCGAUAUGCAAUAUCGUCGGCCGCGGGGACGCCUUCGGGCGUUUUUUUUUGCU